CGUGUAGGCUGCUCGGAAAGUCGGGUGUGAAAGCCCUGGGCUCAACCCAGGAAGUGCACUCGAAACUCCCGAGCUGGAGUCCCGGAGAGGAAAGUGGAAUUCUCGGUGUAGAGGUGAAAUUCGUAGAUAUCGAGAGGAACAUCGGUGGCGAAGGCGGCUUUCUGGACGGUGACUGACGCUGAGACGCGAAAGCGUGGGGAGCAAACA
rnacentral:rRNA from 1 species